rnacentral:rRNA from 1 species
UACGUAGGGACCGAGCGUUGUCCGGAUUCAUUGGGCGUAAAGAGCUCGUAGGCGGCUGCUCAAGUCGAAUGUGAAAACUCGAGGCUCAACCUCGAGCCUGCAUUCGAUACGGGCUGGCUAGAGUGUGGUAGGGGAGAUCGGAAUUCCUGGUGUAGCGGUGAAAUGCGCAGAUAUCAGGAGGAACACCGGUGGUGAAGGCGGAUCUCUGGGCCAUUACUGACGCUGAGGAGCGAAAGCGUGGGGAGCGAACAGG